UACAGAGGGGGCAAGCGUUGUUCGGAAUUACUGGGCGUAAAGGGCGCGUAGGCGGCCCGCUAAGUCGAACGUGAAAUCCCCGGGCUCAACCCGGGAACUGCGUCCGAUACUGGUGGGCUCGAAUCCGGGAGAGGGAUGCGGAAUUCCAGGUGUAGCGGUGAAAUGCGUAGAUAUCUGGAGGAACACCGAUGGCGAAGGCAGGUCUCUGGGCCACUACUGACGCUGAGAAGCGAAAGCGUGGGGAGCGAACAGG
rnacentral:rRNA from 1 species